GAUGAAGAACGUAGCGAAAUGCGAUAAGUAAUGUGAAUUGCAGAAUUCAGUGAAUCAUCGAAUCUUUGAACGCACAUUGCGCCCAUUAGUAUUCUAGUGGGCAUGCCUGUUCGAGCGUCAUUACGACCCCUAAGCCCGGCUUAGUGUUGGGGCUCCGCCCGCGCGGCGGUCCCCUAAAGCCAGCGUGCGGAUCCGCGGUGAUCUCUAAGCGUAGUAAUACUCCUCGCUUCGGAGCAGCCGCGCCUCCGGCCGUAAAACACCCCAAACUUCCAGUGUUUGACCUCGGAUCACGUAGGAAUACCCGCUGAACUUAAGCAUAUCAAUAAGCGGAGGA
rnacentral:misc_RNA from 1 species